rnacentral:ncRNA from 1 species
UAAAGGUUUGGUCCUAGCCUUCCUAUUAGCCAUUAACAAGAUUACACAUGUAAGUCUCCACGCUCCAGUGAAGAUGCCCCUUGAAGUCCUCUUAGACGACCUAAAGGAGCGGGUAUCAAGCACACCUUAUGGUAGCUCACAACGCCUUGCUUAGCCACACCCCCACGGGAAACAGCAGUGAUAAAAAUUAAGCUAUGAACGAAAGUUCGACUAAGCUAUGUUAAUACUAGGGUUGGUAAAUCUCGUGCCAGCCACCGCGGUCAUACGAUUAACUCGAGUUAAUAGGCCUACGGCGUAAAGCGUGUAAAAGAAAAAAUCUCCUCUACUAAAGUUAAAGUAUGAUUAAGCUGUAAAAAGCUACCAUUAAUACUAAAAUAAACUACGAAAGUGACUUUAAAAUUUCUGAUUACACGAUAGCUAGGGCCCAAACUGGGAUUAGAUACCCCACUAUGCCUAGCUCUAAACAUAGAUAUUUUACUAAACAAAACUAUUCGCCAGAGAACUACUAGCAACAGCUUAAAACUCAAAGGACUUGGCGGUGCUUUAUAUCCCCCUAGAGGAGCCUGUUCUGUAAUCGAUAAACCCCGAUAGACCUCACCAUCCCUUGCUAAUUCAGUUUAUAUACCGCCAUCUUCAGCAAACCCUUAAAAAGGAAAAAAAGUAAGCAUAACUACCCUACAUAAAAAAGUUAGGUCAAGGUGUAACCUAUGGGCUGGGAAGAAAUGGGCUACAUUUUCUAUUCAAGAACAACUUCUACGAAAACUUUUAUGAAACUAAAAGCUAAAGGCGGAUUUAGUAGUAAAUUAAGAAUAGAGAGCUUAAUUGAACAGGGCAAUGAAGCACGCACACACCGCCCGUCACCCUCCUCGAGUGAUAUAAUUUAAUUAUAACCUAUUUAAACUAAGCAAAGCAUAAGAGGAGACAAGUCGUAACAAGGUAAGCAUACUGGAAAGUGUGCUUGGAUGAGC